GACGAACGCUGGCGGCGUGCCUAAUACAUGCAAGUCGAACGCUUCUUACUUAUCGAACUUCGGUUCACCAAGUAAGAGGAGUGGCGAACGGGUGAGUAACACGUGGGUAACCUGCCCAUCAGAGGGGGAUAACACUUGGAAACAGGUGCUAAUACCGCAUAAUUCAGUUUACCGCAUGGUAGAGUGAUGAAAGGCGCUUUUGCGUCACUGAUGGAUGGACCCGCGGUGCAUUAGCUAGUUGGUAGGGUAAUGGCCUACCAAGGCAACGAUGCAUAGACGACCUGAGAGGGUGAUCGGCCACGCUGGGACUGAGACACGGCCCAGACUCCUACGGGAGGCAGCAGUAGGGAAUCUUCGGCAAUGGACGAAAGUCUGACCGAGCAACGCCGCGUGAGUGAAGAAGGUUUUCGGAUCGUAAAACUCUGUUGUUAGAGAAGAACAAGGAUGAGAGUAAAAUGUUCAUCCCUUGACGGUAUCUAACCAGAAAGCCACGGCUAACUUCGUGCCAGCCGCCGCGGUAA
rnacentral:rRNA from 1 species